UACAGAGGUCUCAAGCGUUGUUCGGAUUCAUUGGGCGUAAAGGGUGCGUAGGCGGCGCGGUAAGUCGGGUGUGAAAUCUCGGAGCUUAACUCCGAAACUGCAUUCGAUACUGCCGGACUAGAGGGCAGUAGAGGGUGGUGGAAUUCCGGGUGUAGUGGUGAAAUGCGUAGAGAUCCGGAGGAACACCAGUGGCGAAAGCGGCCACCUGGACUGCACCUGACGCUCAAACGCGAAAGCUAGGGGAGCGAACGGU
rnacentral:rRNA from 1 species